rnacentral:rRNA from 1 species
AUGGAGAAGAGGGGUGGCACUCCAUCGCCGUCGCCGAGGUCGACGGAGAAGUCCGGAAAGGACUUGACGAGGUCGGGGGACGCCAACGGCGGCGCGAGCGCCGGCGGCAACGCCACCCCGAAAGGCGACAAGGAGAAGGGAGUCAAUGUGCAGGUCAUCCUUAGAUGCAGGCCACUGAGUGAAGAUGAGACAAAGGGGAAUACUCCGGUGGUGAUAUCGUGCAACGAGCGCCGCCGGGAGGUCGCCGCCACUCAGGUCAUCGCCAAUAAGCAGAUUGACCGUACUUUCGCCUUCGACAAGGUCUUUGGCCCGUCAUCAAAGCAGAAGGACUUGUUUGAACAAUCCAUCUCACCAAUAGUGCAUGAGGUCCUUGAGGGCUAUAAUUGCACAAUUUUUGCCUAUGGGCAAACCGGUACAGGCAAAACCUAUACAAUGGAAGGAGGUGGAACCAGAAAGGCCAAGAGUGGUGAGCUCCCAACUGAUGCUGGAGUUAUCCCGAGGUCCGUCAGGCAAAUUUUCGACAUCCUUGAGGCCCAGUGCGCGGAGUACAGCAUGAAAGUCACCUUUCUUGAGCUUUACAAUGAAGAGAUCACUGAUUUGUUGGCUCCUGAUGAGCCAAGGUUCCCUGUGUUACCUGUCCCUGAGGACAAGAAUAAAAAGCCCAUUGCCCUUAUGGAAGAUGGCAAGGGUGGUGUUUUUGUUAGAGGGCUUGAAGAGGAGGUUGUGUACUCUGCUGGCGAAAUCUACAAGAUUCUUGACAAGGGCUCUGCAAAGAGGCGCACCGCAGAGACAUUGCUGAACAAGCAAAGCAGCAGGUCACACUCCAUAUUCUCAAUCACAAUUCACAUCAAGGAAUUGACUCAUGAGAGCGAGGAGAUGAUCAAAAUUGGGAAGCUUAAUCUCGUCGAUCUAGCUGGUUCAGAAAAUAUAUCACGCUCAGGUGCUAGAGAUGUGAGUGAACUUCAAAUGUCCUAUUCAGGCAGAGCGAGAGAGGCUGGGGAGAUCAACAAGAGUUUGCUCACACUUGGCCGUGUUAUUAAUGCUCUAGUCGAGCACUCUGGACAUGUCCCAUAUAGAGAUAGCAAGCUGACAAGAUUAUUGCGAGAUUCAUUGGGAGGGAAAACAAAGACUUGCAUUAUUGCUACAAUAUCACCUUCGGUAUAUUGCUUGGAAGAGACGUUGAGCACACUCGAUUAUGCACAUCGUGCAAAAAAUAUCAGGAACAAACCCGAGGUGAACCAAAAGAUGAUGAAAUCUGCUGUCAUCAAGGACCUUUACUCCGAAAUUGACCGCCUUAAACAAGAAGUGUUUGCGGCAAGAGAGAAAAAUGGUAUAUACAUUCCAAGAGAGCGCUACCUCCAAGAGGAAGCUGAGAAAAAGGCCAUGACAGAAAAAAUAGAAAAACUGGGAGUUGAUCUAGAGGCUAGGGAUAAGCAAUUGGUGGAACUAAAAGAACUUUAUGAUGCUCAAAUGCUUUUGAGUGCAGAGUUGGGCGAAAAACUCGAGAAAACUCAGAAAGAUCUGGAGGACACCAGGCAUGCUCUGCAUGAUUUAGAAGAAAAAUACAGUGAAGCAAAGUCUACUAUCAAAGAAAAGGAAUUUGUAAUAUCUAAUCUUCAGAACUCAGAAAAAUCACUGGUAGACUGUGCCUAUAAUCUCCGCGCAGAAUUAGAAAAUGCUGCAGCAGAUGUUUCUGGUCUAUUCUCCAAAAUAGAGCGUAAAGACAAAAUAGAAGAUGGAAACAGGUCACUUGUGCAGAGAUUUAGAUCUCAACUGACCCAGGAGCUUGAUGCCUUGCAUAAAACCGUCUCCACUUCAGUGAUGCAGCAGGAGGAUCACCUCAAAGAAAUGGAAGAUGAUAUGCAGUCCUUCGUAUCUUCAAAAGAUGAGGCUGCACAAGGGCUAAAGGAGAGCAUACAAAACCUGAAAGCCCUGCAUGGUUCAGGUAUUACAGCGCUGGAUAAUUUAGCAGGCGAAAUUGACAUGAAUUCUCAGACAACAUUUGAGAAACUGAACUCACAAGUACAAUCACACACAUCAGAUCUUGAGAAAUGUUUCGGAGUAAUUGCUUUGGGAGCAGACAACUUGUUAAAUGAGCUUCAGUGUAGCCUUUCGAAACAAGAAGAGCGAUUAGCCCACUUCGCAAACAAGCAGCGGGAGGGACACCUAAGAGCCGUGGAAGCGUCACGGUCCAUCUCAAAUAUUACUGUUGGUUUCUUCCAUUCACUGGAUGUUCAUGCAUCUAAACUUACUAGUAUUUUGGAAGAAACACAAGGUGUGCAAGAUCAACAACUUAUUGAUCUUGAGAAGAAAUUUGAGGAGUGUGCAGCUAAUGAAGAAAAGCAACUUAUAGAAAAGGUGGCAGAGAUGCUUGCAAUUUCUAAUGCAAGAAAGAAGAAGCUAGUCCAAACGGCUGUAGGUGACCUUCGAGAGAGCGCUGUAAACAGGACAGGUCAGCUGCAGAAAGAAAUUUCAACAGCACAGGACUUCACCUCAUCCGUACGGGAAAAGUGGGGCUUUUACAUGGAAGAAACGGAGAAUAAUUACAUUGAAGAUACCACUGCAGUCGACAGUGGACGGUCUUGCUUGGCAGAAGUUCUUGUGGAAUGCAAAACUAAGACGGGCAUGGGUGCACAACAAUGGAAGAAUGCUGAGGAUUCUCUCUUCAGCCUUGGCAAAGGAAAUGUUGAAUCAGUAGAUAGCAUAGUCAGGACCGGGAGAGAAGCCAACCAAUUGCUGCGUUCCAAAUUGUCUGCCGCAGUAUCGACUACCCUUGAAGAUAUAGAUGUAGCAAACAAGGCUCUUCUUUCUUCCAUUGACAGCUCGCUGAAGGUUGACCAUGAGGCGUGCGCAAACAUCGUCUCCGUUCUCACCCCGUGCCACGGGGAAAUGACGGAGUUGAAGGGUGCGCAUUACCACAAGGUCGUGGAGAUAACCGGAAAUGCGGGGAAAUGCCUAGAGGAAGAAUACCUGGUGGAUGAACCGUCGUGUUCAACGCCAAGGAGGCGGGAAAUCGACCUUCCAAGCGCCGAGUCGAUUGAGGAGCUGCGGACCCCAGACUACGACGAGCUCCUCAGGUCGUUCCGCGAGUCGAGGGCUGGAUGGAGGCAGGCGAACGGAGACACGAAACACCUCCCGGAGGCGCAAGAAGAAUCUACAUCACCAUCGUCGGUCAGGGAUGCGAGGGUCCCCCUUAUAGCAAGAAAUUAG